GAUGAACGCUGGCGGCGUGCUUAACACAUGCAAGUCGAACGAAGAUGCCGGAGUGCUUGCACUUUGGCAGACUGAGUGGCGGACGGGUGAGUAACGCGUGGGUAACCUGCCUUAUACAGGGGGAUAACAGUUGGAAACGACUGCUAAUACCGCAUAAGCGCACGGUAUCGCAUGAUACAGUGUGAAAAACUCCGGUGGUAUAAGAUGGACCCGCGUCUGAUUAGCUUGUUGGUGAGGUAACGGCCCACCAAGGCGACGAUCAGUAGCCGGCCUGAGAGGGUGAACGGCCACAUUGGGACUGAGACACGGCCCAAACUCCUACGGGAGGCAGCAGUGGGGAAUAUUGCACAAUGGGGGAAACCCUGAUGCAGCAACGCCGCGUGAGGAUGACGGUUUUCGGAUUGUAAACUUCUUUUCUUAGUGACGAAGACAGUGACGGUAGCUAAGGAAUAAGCAUCGGCUAACUACGUG
rnacentral:rRNA from 1 species